CCGUGCCUGUUAGCGGUUUUUAUAUUGUGUGUUUCUGUGUACCUGAUGAGUGUCGGUCGGCCCACAGUGGAGCCGCAGCUCAGCUGGAUCGUAGUCUUCGCCUUCACGCCCGUACCACACACAUCGUCUCCGGCUGAGUAACUCACGGAGAUCUUUCCAUCUGCAGAGGGAGUUUGAGAUUAUGAUCAUGAACUUUUCUGAUAUAAAAUAAAAACACAGCUGUAAGAAGAUUAACUAGUAAUAAAAAAACAGCAGCUGCAACUAUGGAGGUAGAUUGUCUCAAUACUAUUUGUGGAAACACAUCCACAAUCUGUGACUCUAGGCUACUGGAAAAUAAGGUAAAUCCUUAAGAAGCUAGGAGAGUAGGUGGUCCCUUAUGACCUCAGUUACCCACCAGUGUAGGUCAUUUGCUGGGUGUAAACCUUCCCCAGGGUGCGUGUGGCUCCUAUUGCGGAGCGUCGGCACACAGUCGCUCCUUCUGGACAUCCUGUCAGCCCGCCGUGGAUCCCCUGACACAGGUUGAUGUAGUACCUGAGGACCAGCAGAGGAGUGUCAUGGUCAAAUCAGUUUCAAGUUAUUUAAUUCAUCUUAACCUAAUUGAAAUCGGACUCACGAGUCUCCAUGGUGGCUGAACUUCCAGGGCUCGGUGAGGGAGGAGAGGGUCCGCAGGUCGAAGGUCUGGUGCUGGCUGACCAGCUUACACUCCAUCUUCACCGGGGGACACACAGCGCUGGUGCGCCACUGAAAGGUGGUCGAACACCCCGCCGUCUCAGAGAGCAGCUGAGGAGUGCCGUGGCCCGCGGACUGAUCGCAGCUGAACAGGAUGGAGGACUGGCGCUUACUGGAGACUGCAGGAGGGAGGCAGAUGCUUUAACAUGGGUUUGAACAUGUUAGGAGGGUAAGUAAAGCAGACCUACCUGGUGGGCAGGGAUCCCCCCCUCCAUACUGCAUCAUGACAGCCUCCUCAUCGUGUUUGAAGUCCAUCGUCAUGGCCUUGCUGAUUCCAAAAGACGAGGCACUCUUCUCUGAACCGGAACCAGACACCCGGCAAACUGCGCUGUUCUUACAGGCCGGCUCUGCCACUGCGCCGCAGACGUUGAUGUGGUACACGUUGGAGCCCACGUGUACCUGAGACAGAGACUACACUUUACUACCUUAUAUUAUAUCUAUUUAUAUAUAUUAACCUGCUGUGCAGAGAAAUAAAUACAUGACUAACGUCUUUUUGUUCUUGUAUUAUUGUAUGUCAUUACUUUGUUCUCAAUAGGCGCUGAAAUUAUGAUUAUCUGGUGAUUGCAAUUGAACAAGAUGAAGGACUUAAUCAUGUGUAACUCUGGGGUGGAUACACAACAAUGAGGCUCACCUGCACUGGACCCGAGAGGAUGGACAGGUCGAAGGUGAACUGCAGCUGGGAGUCGGUGAGCCGGCAGCCGGUGGUGUUGGUGUGUGUGGCGUCUGAACACACGAGGGGAGUCGCCCACUCAAACAGAUACACACAGUCCUGCAGUUUCAGCAUCUGAGGAGAGCCCUGGAUGGAGAAAUAAAAGGAUAGUAUCCGACUCACCAGCUCCAGGCCUCUCUGGCAGGUGAAGAUGAUGGUGGAGGUGUAGUUCUGAGCAUUAUCAGUCGCACACUUGGUGGAGCUGCUGUAAGUGAUGGACACUUCCCCUGUAGAGCUGCUGAUCUCAGGACCGCUGGUAGUCCGCCCGAUGUCCUUCAGGAGACAGAUAGAGAGCGUUAACGGCAGAAGAGUAUGAAGGCAACGUCGUUAAAAGAGACGGGAAGCAAAAGCAGAUCAAACAUUGAGAGACGGGACAAGAGGGAGCAUCAUCACACAGAAAAAAGACAGGAAAGAGGUCUAGGUGUGUUUCCAUGUUGUCCCUGAUUGGAAAAUAAACCCUAAUUAUGUAGAAGUCAAUUCAAAACCUCUCAUUUUUUGAGUGAAAUCUAGAAAUACCUGAUCUGUAGUUAGAGUCAAAUGUGUGUUUUCUUGAAGCACCUUUAGUAAUAAUAUCUCCCCAAACUGUGUGCAAGAAACCAAGAACUGCCUGAACUUGCAAACCCUCCAUACCAUAUUUGAAAAGCACUAAGAGUCUAAUUGUGCGCCUCGACGGUAUGGAAGUGUAUAGUGGUGCUUGUGAGUGUCUUACCACAGGAGAUCCUUUGUCAGGAUCUGAGCAGACGGCAGCUCCGGGAGGGCAGGAGACCCCGGGGAUGGGGUUGAGAGGCUGACAGAUGUUGAUGUAGAAGUCUGGAGAUCCGUCGUCUUCGCCCACCGUGUCAUCUGAGAGGAAAAGAG